rnacentral:lncRNA from 1 species
AAUGCAUGGAAGCUGCAAAGAAGAGUGAGUUUAAAUCACAGCAGAAUCAGUCCAGUCUCUGCCAAACCCAGAUUCUAAUUCAGGAGCCUGAACCACAGCAGGAGAAACUAAGUAAUUCUCCUGGUGUAGACACUGAACCUCCCACCAGCCCUGCUCCUAUUCGACAUUUAUUUCCAGAAGAGACCUUUAACUUGAAAGGCUGAUUUUAUGACAAAUUCCGCCUUUCUGAAAAGGAUCAACUUCUCAUUUCGAUCAUGAAGGCAGAGGUCAAAGAAGCUUUGAGGAAGCAAGGAGGUUGAGAGCAGAGUUGCACCAGGCCGUUCAGAAAGCACAUCUUGAAGAGAUCUCCUGGCUCUAGAGGAAGUAAG